CACCAGCGCCUCGAGUGGGGAUCGCGAUUAUUGGGCCUAAAGCGUCCGUAGCAGGCUUUGUAGAUCCUUUGUGAAAUCGGCAGGCUUAACCUGUCGGCGGGCAGAGGAGACCGCAGAGCUUGAGACCGGGAGAGGUCAGAAGUAUUCCUAGGGUACCGGUAAAAUGGGUUAAUCCUGGGAGGACUACCAAUGGCGAAGGCAUCUGACCAGAACGGUUCUGACUGUGAGGGACGAAAGCUAGGGGAGCAAAACGG
rnacentral:rRNA from 1 species